rnacentral:lncRNA from 1 species
AGACAGGGGCAGCACCCCCUGUUUGCUGCCUUUCCAGGGAGGGCAGCACGAGAAAGAAAGAGGGAGGCAAGCGAAAUUCCUGAAUGGAUAGACAGAUGCUACGUCAUCGGAGCCGCAUCCUCCACUCCACAAGAGGCUAGGAGCCGGAGAAAGAGGCAGGCCAGCGGCAGGGGCCACCGAGCCAGCGCGCCUCCUCCCAGAAGCCGGAGCAGAGCAUCGGAGAAGAAGCAGCCUCAUUUGCUUCUGGUGUCAUCGUAGGUGUCCACCUUUGGCUUUGGGGGAACCUUCCUGACCCAGGGAUUGAACUUGCCUCUCCUGCUUCUCCUGUAUCGGCAGGCAGAUUCUUUACCACUGAGCCACCUGGGAAGCCCUACUAGCUGCGUGGCCUUAGGAAAUUUCAUGAUCUUGCUUAUUCCUGUCUUGGAAAAUCCUUUCCAAUGUCUAACCAAGAUCUGUACUGCUGAAGUACCAGUUCUUUGACCUAUGGCUUGACAUGGCUGAUUUGAGAGGUACAGCUUCCCACCACCCAGGAAGGAAGGAACUGGCCUGGAUUUUGGCAACCUCUUGCUUGUACCAAAAAGAAGAACCUACUUCAUCCAGUUGGCUUCAGUGCCCUGUGAGAAGCCUUCCUGAUUGACGGAAAGAUGAGACUAAAUUCUAGCAAGUUGAGUGGCUCCUUCAAGAAGCCUGUGUGCAGGGUAGAAGUGGAGAGGCCAUAGCCUCCAGCCUGGGCAGCCCAUUGGCACCUGGAGCCACCUCAACUUUGCCUCCCCUUUGCUCCUGUGUCUAUAAGCUGCCCAGCCCAGCCCGUCCUGGUUUCUCCUGUGUCUUCUGAGCUGAGAUUUCUCUGAGAUGGAAGCCCCAUCCCAUGUCUAAUAAAGACUCUUGAAUACUGAA